AACAGCUCCUGAAUAUCCAUAGGAAGGAAAUCUAUCAUAAUUUAGAGGGGGAAAACAUAGCAUCACCACAGUCAAUCUUAACAUUUCAAGUACAAUUAAAUGAACAGUCAAUACUGCUGAGAAAUCGAUCCACAUGCUUGCUAUGAAAUUAAUUUCCCGACUAUGUUUCCUGUGCAAUCAAUUUCUAAGUGUGCUUGAAGCCUUGAACUACCAGUCAGUAGGACUAGAUACAAGUAUGGGUCGUUAA
rnacentral:misc_RNA from 1 species